UACGGAGGGUGCAAGCGUUAUCCGGAUUUACUGGGUUUAAAGGGUGUGUAGGCGGUCUUUUAAGUCAGCGGUGAAAUCUCCGGGCUCAACCCGGAAACUGCCAUUGAUACUAUUGGUCUUGAAUGUUGUUGAGGUGGGCGGAACGGGUCAUGUAGCGGUGAAAUGCAUAGAUAUGACCCGGAACACCGAUUGCGUAGGCAGCCCACUAAGCAACGAUUGACGCUGAGGCACGAAAGCGUGGGGAUCAAACAGG
rnacentral:rRNA from 1 species